UCUACACAUCUCCCGCGAACCCGUUUGUGCUUUAUCGGAUCCUUUUCAAGAUCCGCUAACUGGAGAUGCCCUGCUUCUAGUUCCGGAGCUCAGCCUCUUUCGAUGUCGUCCUCGGCGGCGAACUCUCCAUCUCCCGCCGCCACCUCCGCCUCCGCAUCCUCGCCAAGACGCGCCUCGCCGACUCCCGUCUCAUCCUCUCCGACGUCGCCUCUGGCCACGGUCGAGCAAGAUCAUAAAGCGAGCAUCUUCGCGUUCGAGUUCCACCAUUAGAGAUGAGGGUUUUGGUGAUGAUCAUGCACCUUCGUCCUCCUCCGAGAUGGGAUGCAUUCCUUCUUCAAUGAUGACAGGAGCUGCACACCCUCUUACCCAUGAUGAAGCUGAUGAUCUUGAGGAUCAAAAAUAGAAGAGGGAAGUUGACUAUGAGGACAUGCCCAAAGCACAUCAUAACAGUGAUACUGGAGGAUCUCAUGAAAGAAAGCUCAGACUAGAUGAGGACACUGCUACAAGGCAUGCUGACUAUAACACAAAUAGGCUACACAAGAAGUACUCUCAAGAAUCGAGAUAGAUAUAUAAAUGCCCCCUCGUAUCAUAGGCAGGGUAUUCCCCCAUAUGAUCAAUUUCAGUCUAUUGAUCAGAAAUAUUAUAAGGGUUCGCAUUUGACAGCAAUGUGAAGAGAUUAAAGGUUGCAUUCUGAGAAAUCAUAUUCUGAGGUACAACGGGUGUCUGAGAACUCUGACAAGCGCAGUAGAGAGAGGAAAUGGCGCAGUUGCAAAAACCAAUCUAUGAAACGCACAAGAAAAAAAAACAACCUGGACAUGAUUGUAGCCAGAGAAGUCAUCAUAGGAGUAUGAAAGAAUUGUCAGAUGACUGGGAAAAAUUUGUGAUAAUUAGUAAAAGGCAUAGGCACCAUUGCCAUAAAAGCACAGGUUGCAUUCUGGAACCUGAUUCUCCCACUGUUGGGGCCAUGCCAGGGAGAAACAGUCAAGCUACACUUCUGGGAAUCCCAAGCAUAAAUCAAAUCAAAUGGAUGACUCAUUCAAAGAUGACAGGUGGGAGAUGGUUGAUGGCUUGGAUGAUGACUAUUGGGGGAGGCAUUAUUAUGGCAAACACAAGUUAAUUUCCUAAAGCUUGCAAGCUUAUUGCUGUUAUAACUAUUUACAGCCAGCUUUGUAGGAGUAGCACCUCAUAUAUGUGGAACUACAGUGGCUACAUCUUCACAGGUAUAUGUACAUAUUGAACCUCACCUUCCCUUUCAAUAAUUGCCAGUCUAUCAUGAGACACACAGGAAAAAUCAUCAUGCAAUGUACAUUUUUAAUCUGGUGUGGUAUUGGGUUGAUGAAAACUAUUAUUUCAUGUCGGCUUAUACAUGUCUAGGAAGUGUUAUUGGGUUGAGAAAAAUGGUUCUCUGUUUGUAGAGGGAUGGUAUAUUGAUGAUCAAAAAGAUAGGGAUGGUAUAUUGAUGAUCAAAAAGAUACUAAUGGAAGUUUUUGAUUUAUAGUGUAGAUCAUGUGUGUGGCAAUUCUGUUUUAGAGUAAGUAGGGUUAGGGUCCCUUCUGAUCCUGCAUAGGUUUAGCUCUGGAAUUUUGUUUUGGGCACAGGUUUCUCCUAUAAAAAAACGUGCAUUGAGGAUCACUUCGCCUGCUGUUUGUACAGAAAAUAUAUUUGGUUGGUAAAGUAAUAUCUUCUUCUUAGUUGCGGAUGACAUUAUUCUGUAUGUUGUUUGCAUGAGUUUAUUGAUUUUGUGCUCUUUGGUUAAAUGAUAUAACAAGGUAUUGUUGGACCACUCUUACAGAAAAGUUCGUAGACAAAAUUUCAUUUGAUAAUAUUGCCGGUGUAUCUUUUUGGAGCCUUAUAUUUUCUAACUGAAAUAGACUGCCACUGAUGGUUCAUCUGGUAAUCCUAAUUAAUUUUCAGAUUUGAUAUCCUGAAUCUUUCUUUAUGUUUCAACUGCUCUAUUUUUUUCCCUGUGCAGACCCAUGCACCUCUUGAUUUCUAAAUACUAGUUUACCUUGUGUUGUUAGAAUUACUAUCAUAAUUAUUUCUUUCUCAUUCUUCAGUGAAGCAAUUCUUAACAUUAUAUAUGACAAUUCAUUAUUAAUCAGUGAUAUGAUUUUUGUCAAACAAUGUAACCCUUUUCAAAUGGUUGUUUUUCCAUGUUUCCCAAGUCUGCAUCUGCAUAUUGUGGUCUUAUUUUUGUCUUGGUAGCUGUUAAUCUACCAAUGGUUUUCAAAACCUUUCUUUUCUAUCCCCAUUCAUAGAUUGUCAUUUGAAUAACAGAAUUAGAUUGGUUCAAAUACAUAUGCCGUCAUGGCUAUACACAAAUUCUAGUGAUUCUAAAUGCUAAUCUAGUUUGCUUCGAAACUGAAAAAUCACUCAAUUGGAUGCUGCACUCAAGUGCCUGUGAAACAGCAAAUUCUGAGACACCAAAAUGUCAUUUCGGUCUUCUUAAACAUAGAAUACUUCAUAGAACUGAGCAAGGAGCAUGCUGCAAACAAUGUUUGAUGUUACUUGAAGUGGCAGAUUUGGAUUGGCUCUGUUGUUUCCUUAAGUAGAUACUAAUCUACAGUUCUAUUCUUUUCAGUGCUUGGUAGUGAAGAAGUGAACACAGUUAUGCAAACUUAUUGUCUUGUUCUUUUACUGCAGUUGGCUGUAGUUUGCAGCAUCUUUGAUUGGUUCUUUGCACAUCUGAAGCAAAUAGAAACAUGAAAAGAUAUUGGACAUCCAAGAUGGUUUUUGGACUAUGAACUAUUUUUUUCCUUGCCAAAUCUUC